UGUGUAGGUGCUGUGAUUAGUACUUGGAGUUUAAUUUCUUGUGGUGGAGCAGUCUGAGCAACAAUCCUCUCUGGUUCAGCAAACAGAGGAAACCUCAGAGCCUGGUGUCCCUUCCACAACCUCCUCUCCAAACCUUACAGCCCUUUUUGAAAUAGUUCUUCUGUCCAUGAUCAGCGAAGCUUCUUGCAAGACUUACUAUAAAAACUUACAAGAUACAAGAAAAGAGGAGAGCUCUUUGUAGACUAUGAAGCUUCCUAUCCCUUUUUUUCCAAGGCAGAGUCUUCAAGUGAAACAAACUCAAGCCAAAACCAGAAUUCAGUAAGAUUUUGAUUCAAUACUCGGUGUUUAAAGAUCUAACUUCCCAUUAGGGAAUAAUUCUAAAACAGAAACUAAUGAACUGGAGCAAGGGGGUUAUGGAAAGAGUUAUAUAAUUCCCAGGACAGUCCAGAUAAGUGUGAAUGCACCUGUGUGCCAUGGAAUCAAUGUCCACUGAAGCAGGAGAUUUUUGCUUAGGAAAAGAAAUCAUAGCCAUCAAUAACUAUGUGUCAGCCUGGACAGAGUUCCUGACCAUAUUCUUGUGUCUAAAUUGUGAUUAAGCCUUUGCAAACUUAGGUCUGUGCCUGUCCUAAGAAUGAGCAGCAAUGUACAUUUGUGAGCAAACCCUCUGCUCUACAGGUGGGGGUUUUUUCCUGUCUUCAU